CAAACAGAGUCAGGUGGUAAUCUAUACACUAACACACAAACAGAGUCACAGUGGUAAUCUAUACACUAACAGAGUCACAGUGGUAAUCUAUACACUAACACGCAAACAGAGUCAGGUGGUAAUCUAUACACUAACACACAAACAGAGUCAGGUGGUAAUCUAUACACUAACACACAAACAGAGUCAGGUGGUAAUCUAUACACUAACACGCAAACAGAGUCACAGUGGUAAUCUAUACACUAACACACAGAGUCAGGUGGUAAUCUAUACACUA